rnacentral:tRNA from 1 species
GGGCCGUUAGCUCAGUGGUUAGAGCACCCGCCUCUUAAGCGGGGUGUCACAGGUUCGAAUCCUGUACGGCCCACCA